GCUGGAGUGGUAGAGUGGUCAAAUACACUUCUCUGUAAAAGAAGCGCCGCAAGGCUUCCUUGGUUCGAAUCCAAGCUCCAGCACUA
rnacentral:tRNA from 5 species